rnacentral:rRNA from 1 species
CUGAAAGCCAGUAAGUCCUGAGUUACCAUGGAAGGGGGAAAGGUGGAACUUUCUAAGUGUUAGCCGCUGAAUGGCGGUAGAUAUUAGACGGAACCACCAGUGGGCGAAAGGCGACUUUCCUGGAACUGUAACCUGACGCUGAGGCAACGAAAGCGGUGGGUAGCGAACCAGGAAUUAGAUAUCUCGCUAGUCACGCCGUAAACCGAUGAAUACUAAGGUGUCGGCGAGCGAUCGUCGGUGCCCGGCGCUAACGCAAUAAAGUAUUCUGCCUGCGGAAGUACGGUCGCAAGACUAAAACUCAAAGGAAUUGACGGGGACCCGCACAAGCAGCGGAGCAUGUUGUUUAAUUCGACGCAACGCGAAAAACAUUACCAAAUCUUGACAUCCCUGUGACCGCACAUGUAAAGUGUGCUUUCUCUUCGGAGACAUAGGAGACAGGUGGUGCAUGGUUGUCGUCAGCUCGUGUCGUGAGAUGUUGGGUUAAGUCCCGCAACGAGCGCAAC